rnacentral:ncRNA from 1 species
GUAAAAGUAAUGAUUGGGAUUAAAGCAUCAAUACAAGCGCUUCAGAGAGCCGGCGGUGGUGCAAGCCGGUGCGUGAUUGUUGCCGUUACCUCGCCCAUGAACUCUUUAGCUGACGUGUAUACAUAGUAAAGUAUACAUUAGGUUGAAGCGUUGCCCUGCGUUAACGGGAAGUUCGGUUGUUGUUGCCGGGCGCAAGGAGUAUAACGUAGGGUGGUACCGCGAAUUGUCGCCCCUACU